rnacentral:rRNA from 1 species
CCAGCACCCGCGGUAAUUCCAGCUCCAAUAGCGUAUAUUAAAGUUGUUGCAGUUAAAACGCUCGUAGUCUGGUGUGGAGUGAGUGGUGGGGGAUGCUGUAAAGUAUUCUCCAACGCGCACUCGUUCUGACAGCAAUGUCGGGGUUACUUUGAGGAAAUUGGGGUGUUCAAGGCAGGCGUGUGCUUGGAUAUCGCAGCAUGGAAUAACGGAGUAGGAUUCGCUUCUUAUUUUGUUGGUUUGGGGGAGUGAGUAAUGAUUAAUAGGGGCAGUUGGGGGCAUUGGUAUUUGGUAGUCAGAGGUGAAAUUCUUGGAUUUACCAAAGACUAACUGGUGCGAAAGCGUUUGCCAAGGAUGUUUUCAUUAAUCAAGAACGAAAGU